rnacentral:ncRNA from 2 species
AAGGCUACAGGAAGCUGUGAACCGCUGCCUUUACAUGGUCACUUGGGUGGCGAGGAGCCAAUAGUGAAACCGACCUCAAGGGUC